rnacentral:rRNA from 1 species
GGUUAAGCGACUAAGCGUACACGGUGGAUGCCCUGGCAGUCAGAGGCGAUGAAGGACGUGCUAAUCUGCGAUAAGCGUCGGUAAGGUGAUAUGAACCGUUAUAACCGGCGAUUUCCGAAUGGGGAAACCCAGUGUGUUUCGACACACUAUCAUUAACUGAAUCCAUAGGUUAAUGAGGCGAACCGGGGGAACUGAAACAUCUAAGUACCCCGAGGAAAAGAAAUCAACCGAGAUUCCCCCAGUAGCGGCGAGCGAACGGGGAGCAGCCCAGAGCCUGAAUCAGUGUGUGUGUUAGUGGAAGCGUCUGGAAAGGCGCGCGAUACAGGGUGACAGCCCCGUACACAAAAAUGCACAUACUGUGAGCUCGAUGAGUAGGGCGGGACACGUGGUAUCCUGUCUGAAUAUGGGGGGACCAUCCUCCAAGGCUAAAUACUCCUGACUGACCGAUAGUGAACCAGUACCGUGAGGGAAAGGCGAAAAGAACCCCGGCGAGGGGAGUGAAAAAGAACCUGAAACCGUGUACGUACAAGCAGUGGGAGCACGCUUAGGCGUGUGACUGCGUACCUUUUGUAUAAUGGGUCAGCGACUUAUAUUCUGUAGCAAGGUUAACCGAAUAGGGGAGCCGAAGGGAAACCGAGUCUUAACUGGGCGUUAAGUUGCAGGGUAUAGACCCGAAACCCGGUGAUCUAGCCAUGGGCAGGUUGAAGGUUGGGUAACACUAACUGGAGGACCGAACCGACUAAUGUUGAAAAAUUAGCGGAUGACUUGUGGCUGGGGGUGAAAGGCCAAUCAAACCGGGAGAUAGCUGGUUCUCCCCGAAAGCUAUUUAGGUAGCGCCUCGUGAAUUCAUCUCCGGGGGUAGAGCACUGUUUCGGCAAGGGGGUCAUCCCGACUUACCAACCCGAUGCAAACUGCGAAUACCGGAGAAUGUUAUCACGGGAGACACACGGCGGGUGCUAACGUCCGUCGUGAAGAGGGAAACAACCCAGACCGCCAGCUAAGGUCCCAAAGUCAUGGUUAAGUGGGAAACGAUGUGGGAAGGCCCAGACAGCCAGGAUGUUGGCUUAGAAGCAGCCAUCAUUUAAAGAAAGCGUAAUAGCUCACUGGUCGAGUCGGCCUGCGCGGAAGAUGUAACGGGGCUAAACCAUGCACCGAAGCUGCGGCAGCGACACUAUGUGUUGUUGGGUAGGGGAGCGUUCUGUAAGCCUGUGAAGGUGUACUGUGAGG